UGAAUCCAUAGGUUAAUGAGGCGAACCGGGGGAACUGAAACAUCUAAGUACCCCGAGGAAAAGAAAUCAACCGAGAUUCCCCCAGUAGCGGCGAGCGAACGGGGAGGAGCCCAGAGCCUGAAUCAGUGUGUGUGUUAGUGGAAGCGUCUGGAAAGGCGCGCGAUACAGGGUGACAGCCCCGUACACAAAAAUGCACAUAUUGUGAGCUCGAUGAGUAGGGCGGGACACGUGGUAUCCUGUCUGAAUAUGGGGGGACCAUCCUCCAAGGCUAAAUACUCCUGACUGACCGAUAGUGAACCAGUACCGUGAGGGAAAGGCGAAAAGAACCCCGGCGAGGGGAGUGAAAAAGAACCUGAAACCGUGUACGUACAAGCAGUGGGAGCCUCUUAAUGGGGUGACUGCGUACCUUUUGUAUAAUGGGUCAGCGACUUAUAUUCUGUAGCAAGGUUAACCGAAUAGGGGAGCCGAAGGGAAACCGAGUCUUAACUGGGCGUUAAGUUGCAGGGUAUAGACCCGAAACCCGGUGAUCUAGCCAUGGGCAGGUUGAAGGUUGGGUAACACUAACUGGAGGACCGAACCGACUAAUGUUGAAAAAUUAGCGGAUGACUUGUGGCUGGGGGUGAAAGGCCAAUCAAACCGGGAGAUAGCUGGUUCUCCCCGAAAGCUAUUUAGGUAGCGCCUCGUGAAUUCAUCUCCGGGGGUAGAGCACUGUUUCGGCAAGGGGGUCAUCCCGACUUACCAACCCGAUGCAAACUGCGAAUACCGGAGAAUGUUAUCACGGGAGACACACGGCGGGUGCUAACGUCCGUCGUGAAGAGGGAAACAACCCAGACCGCCAGCUAAGGUCCCAAAGUCAUGGUUAAGUGGGAAACGAUGUGGGAAGGCCCAGACAGCCAGGAUGUUGGCUUAGAAGCAGCCAUCAUUUAAAGAAAGCGUAAUAGCUCACUGGUCGAGUCGGCCUGCGCGGAAGAUGUAACGGGGCUAAACCAUGCACCGAAGCUGCGGCAGCGACACUAUGUGUUGUUGGGUAGGGGAGCG
rnacentral:rRNA from 1 species